rnacentral:rRNA from 1 species
UACGAAGGGGGCUAGCGUUGUUCGGAAUUACUGGGCGUAAAGGGCUCGUAGGCGGCCAACUAAGUCAUACGUGAAAUCCCUCGGCUUAACCGGGGAACUGCGUCUGAUACUGGAUGGCUUGAGUUCGGGAGAGGGAUGCGGAAUUCCAGGUGUAGCGGUGAAAUGCGUAGAGAUCGGCAGGAACACCCAAGGGGAAGCCAGCCGACUGGCACGGUGCUGACACUGAGGUGCGACAGCGUGGGGAGCAAACGGG